rnacentral:rRNA from 1 species
CCUACGGGUGGCUGCAGUGGGGAAUAUUGGACAAUGGGCGAAAGCCUGAUCCAGCCAUGCCGCGUGUGUGAAGAAGGCCUUCGGGUUGUAAAGCACUUUCAGUGGGGAAGAAAGCCUUGGGGCUAAUACCCUCGAGGAAGGACAUCACCCACAGAAGAAGCACCGGCUAACUCCGUGCCAGCAGCCGCGGUAAUACGGAGGGUGCGAGCGUUAAUCGGAAUUACUGGGCGUAAAGCGCGCGUAGGCGGUCUGAUAAGCCGGUUGUGAAAGCCCCGGGCUCAACCUGGGAACGGCAUCCGGAACUGUCAGGCUAGAGUGCAGGAGAGGAAGGUAGAAUUCCCGGUGUAGCGGUGAAAUGCGUAGAGAUCGGGAGGAAUACCAGUGGCGAAGGCGGCCUUCUGGACUGACACUGACGCUGAGGUGCGAAAGCGUGGGUAGCAAACAGGAUUAGAUACCCGGGUAGG